rnacentral:rRNA from 1 species
AAUCAACGCUGGCGGCGUGCCUCAGACAUGCAAGUCGAACGAUUAAAGCUCCCUUCGGGGAGUGCAUAAAGCGGCGCACGGGUGAGUAACACGUAAGUAAUCUACCCUCGAGUGGGGAAUAACGUCCGGAAACGGACGCUAAUACCGCAUAAUGCAGCGGCACCGCAAGGUGACAGUCGUUAAAGAUUUAUCGCUUGAGGAGGAGCUUGCGGCAGAUUAGCUAGUUGGUAAGGUAAUGGCUUACCAAGGCCGCGAUCUGUAACCGGUCUAAGAGGACGGUCGGUCACACUGACACUGAAUAACGGGUCAGACUCAUACGGGAGGCAGCAGUCGGGAAUUUUGGGCAAUGGGCGAAAGCCUGACCCAGCAACGCCGCGUGAAGGAUGAAGUAUUUCGGUAUGUAAACUUCGAAAGAAUGGGAAGAAUAAAUGACGGUACCAUUUAUAAGCUCCGGCUAACUACGUGCCAGCCGCCGCCGUAAUAC